UACGGAGGGAGCUAGCGUUGUUCGGAAUUACUGGGCGUAAAGCGCGCGUAGGCGGACUAUUAAGUCAGAGGUGAAAUCCCAGGGCUCAACCCUGGAACUGCCUUUGAUACUGGUAGUCUUGAGUUCGAGAGAGGUGAGUGGAAUUCCGAGUGUAGAGGUGAAAUUCGUAGAUAUUCGGAGGAACACCAGUGGCGAAGGCGGCUCACUGGCUCGAUACUGACGCUGAGGUGCGAAAGCGUGGGGAGCAAACAGG
rnacentral:rRNA from 1 species